rnacentral:pre_miRNA from 1 species
UGUUAAAAGUUUUAUUCAUUUCUACUAUUAAAAACUAACGCAACUAACAGAAUAACCAGACAAUUACAAGUGGUCUGAACAUAUAUCUCUUGUUGACAUACAAAUACCAUUUUUUAAUGGUAAAAAAUAGAUGAAAUUUUUAAUA